AAGUGUCCUCCCAGGUGGUUCCAACCUUUAACCCAAUUCCUCUGUCUUGGAGGCAAAGGGAAAGGACGUGGCUGAUCCCCGCAGAGCCCAAGGCCAGCCACCAUCCUUUCAUGGAGCCAGGCAGCUUCGAGAAGCCACUGAGGCUCCUUGUGCUCCUUGUGUGGGCACAAAGUGUGGGCUUCUGGAGGGGGUCCUUGGACCUCUAUCUCAGCAGGGACAUUCCUCCUCCCCCCGCCUUCCAGACCUCCUGCUCCAGAUGCCUGGCUUCUCCAGGGCACCCCGAUGGGUGGCUCUGCCACCCCAGGACACUGGACUGGGGCCACCCUUACAGAACCGGUUCGAAGCCAAACAAUGGCACGUCACAGUCCAGCUGAGCCGGAGGCCUCAGCAGGGAUCCCAUCCAGGAUCUCACAUUCUACGUCGUUGUCAUUGUCUUGCCUCCUGAGGCUCCUCUUGGCUGUGACCACUUCUCGGACUUUUAUUUUGAUGAAAAUAUUUUGAUGACCCUGACAGUUUUGAGAAGUCCUGGUUUGGUGUCUUGGAGGAUACUGCUAUACUGGAAUUUGUUUCGUGUUGUUCUCAUGUUUAGACAGGGGUUAUGGGUUUUUGGGUGUCUGAUCACAAAGCCGAGGUGCCGUUUUCAUCAUGUAUCCUAUCAGAGGUCCUAUCAACUGGAGUUACAAAGAUGCUGACUUUAUCACGGGUAUCCGCUGGGUUUCUGCACCGCAGAAUGAGCCCCCUUCUCCCGUUCCACACUGUACUCUUUGGGAGGAAGUCACUAAGUGCAGCCACACAUAAGGCCUGGGACUUAUGCUUUCAGCCCCAACUCAUUUAGGGUGAAAUAGUGACAUAAAUUGGCCUGGUGCAGUGGCUCAUGCCUGUAAUCCCAGCACUUUGGGAGGUCGAGGCGAGCGGAUCACCUGAGGUCAAGAGAUGGAGACCCUCCUGGCCAACAUGGUGAAACCUUGUGUCUACCAAAAAUACAAAAAUUAGCUGGGCGUGGUGGUGGGCGCCUGUAAUCCCAGCUACUUGGGAGACUGAGGCAGGAGAAUCGCUUG
rnacentral:lncRNA from 1 species